UACGUAGGGGGCUAGCGUUGUCCGGAAUCAUUGGGCGUAAAGAGCGCGUAGGCGGCCAGAUAAGUCCGGUGUGAAAGUCACAGGCUCAACCUGUGAAUGCCGCUGGAAACUGUCUGGCUAGAGUCCGGGAGGGGCGGAGGUGGAAUUCCUGGUGUAGCGGUGAAAUGCGCAGAUAUCAGGAGGAACACCAAUGGCGAAGGCAGCUCGCUGGAACGGUACUGACGCUGAGGUGCGAAAGCGUGGGGAGCAAACAGG
rnacentral:rRNA from 1 species